rnacentral:lncRNA from 1 species
UGUAUUAUUUCUGAAUUGGACACUGACAAUUUUAAGGACUAAAUUUUAUUUAUUUAAAAUUAAAAAAUAAAAUAUCCAAUUAUAAUUUGGAGUUACCAAAAACUAUAUACAGAAACUGGAGAACAUAUAGAUUACUGACACACCAAUAACAAAUUAAAAUAAAUUAUUUCGGGGAGUUCAAGCACUUAAGAUAUGUUUGUUUACCAUCACACUUGAGAUGUGUGUUACAAAAGUGGAAUUAUAGUAGCACCAAAAAGAAUAAAGUAAAUAAUGAAUACACUGGAAGAGCACUAUAACAUAUAAUGUUUCGGAGAAUUGACCGAGAUAAUUUGGGUAUUGAAGAAAAAAAAUAUGAGUGAAGACUUAAUUAACCCAGACAAACGUGCUCAAGAAGGAUUUUCUUUUUAAAAUGGGUAUUAGACAAAAGAUGUAGCACCUAUGACGUAUAAAUGGAUAAGAGAGAAUCACAAGGUCAAUGUCAAGAAGCAACAGCAACUCUUGGGUACUUGCAGUUAUGAGUCAAACGUCAACAUCACUUCGUUACCAUGAUAAUAUAUACUCUUCAUAUGUUUGAGUUAAAUUGAUAUGGUAGAAUGGGUUCAGAAAUAUAUGCCAUCCAAAAUGAAGUAAAAGGGCAGAAAUCAAUUAUUCAAAUUAAUCAUCAAUGCAACUUGGUUAGAAGGAAAGCUGCAUCGCUUUAUUUUCUCUUUUUGAUUUUACAUAUUAAAGUUGAGAUGUAGUAACUGAGGCCUAACAGUAAAUACAAUGCAUUUUACUGAGGGCUUGCUCUUGGAGGAGGUCCCUGGUUCAAAUCCUUGGUAUUGUUCAAUAGAUACAUGCAUGCAUACAUA